CGGUGUUUAACUGGCGUGAUGUGGGACGUCCUACCGGUGGGCUUAGCCUCGCGAGGGGCGGCCCAACUAAUAUCCCGUCGCGGUGCUCUUUACUGAGUGUCGAGUCGGGCCGGUACGUUUACUUUGAACAAAUUGGAGUGCUUAAAGCAGGCUAUCCUCGCCUGAAUACUGCGUGCAUGGAAUAAUGGAAUAGGACCUCGGUUCUAUUUUGUUGGUUUUCGGAACCCCGAGGUAAUGAUUAAUAGGGACAGAUGGGGGCAUUCGUAUUGCGACGUUAGAGGUGAAAUUCUUGGAUCGUCGCAAGACGGACAGAAGUGAAAGCAUUUGCCAAAAAUGUUUUCAUUAAUCAAGAACGAAAGUUAGAGGUUCGAAGGCGAUCAGAUACCGCCCUAGUUCUAACCAUAAACGAUGCCAGCUAGCGAUCCGCCGAAGUUCCUCCGAUGACUCGGCGGGCAGCUUCCGGAGAAACCAAAGCUUUUGGGUUCCGGGGGAAGUAUGGUUGCAAAGCUGAAACUUAAAGGAAUUGACGGAAGGGCACCACCAGGAGUGGAGCCUGCGGCUUAAUUUGACUCAACACGGGAAACCUCACCAGGCCCAGACACCGGAAGGAUUGACACAUUGAUAGCUCUUUCUUGAUUCGGUGGGUGGUGGUGCAUGGCCGUUCUUAGUUGGUGGAGCGAUUUGUCUGGUUAAUUCCGAUAACGAACGAGACUCUAGCCUGCUAAAUAGGCGUACCUUAUGGUAUCGCGAAGGCCCCCGGCUUCGGCCGGUGGGUUUUUACUACCAACGUACAAACAAAUCUUUUUAGAGGGACAGGCGG
rnacentral:rRNA from 1 species